AGAGAGAGAGAGAGAGAGAGAGAGAGAGAGAGAGAGAGAGAGAGAGAGAGGCUUUCUCUCGACUGGGCUAGUACCAGUUUCCAUGUACAUUUGUUGUUAAGCAGAGCUUUAGCUCAAGGGUCCUGUGAGGUAUGAAUGAAGGAAAUCGGAAAUUAACUCUUCUCUCAGUGGACAAUGGAUGGCAGUUCAUGGCCGGAGAGUUGCAUUGUGUGACUCUUCCCAAAUUCAUUUGUGAGGUCCUCACCUCCAAGUGCCCCACAGAAUGGCUCUGUUUAGAAAGAAAGUCCUCACUGAUGCAACUGAGGUUCGGUAGGAGUCAACACAACUGUGCCUUAUAAAAAGGAAUGAUCACAAAGGAAUGAUACUGUGUAUGAUGAGCGUGGGGAAAGUUUCGUAAGCCUAAGCGCGCCAGUUGAUAUCAGCAAGCCACCAGACGCAAGACAGGCGGGCCCUGCCAACACCUUUAUUGGGAACUUCCAGCCUCCUAAACGGUGGGAGAACAGACCUCUCUUGUUUGAGCCAUUCAGCUUGUGGCCCCUUUGUUACAACAUCCUCAGCAAACUAACGCAGGCUGCAGCCAUGCCCGGCCAUCUUGGAGAACUAGGUUCUGUGUGCUGAAGAUAAAUAUGUCCGUUUGCCCACUUAAACAACUUCCGCCACAGCCACUUCUAGACAAAUAGAAGAGUGUGGCAUUAGCACCGGGCGUCCUGGGAUGCGUCUGGGCACAUCCCCUCGGCAGUUUUCAGGGGUAUGGGAAAUGUCUAGGAGAGGUACGAGACUGUCAGCUCCCUCCACCAUUACCGCUACGGCUCUGCUAUUUCCACCCUUGCUUCCAACAUGCGUGUUUCCCAUCAAACACUCACAGCGACGCUUCUGGAGUGAGUAUCGAAGAGGAGUCACCCAGAGGAGGGCCGCAGAAAGGCUCUGCAGUUUACGCUCCAUCUGCUCCCUUUGCAUCUCAUGUUCCAACUCCCGAGGCUUUCCCAGAUCCUCCCGGCCACAGCAGCCUGUCUCUCAGAGUCUCCUCUGCGGUCUCCGGUUCCUCUUCGCCGCGGUCUUUCCACACGGAGGCUCCGGGCUACGCCCACCUGGCGGAGACUCGAGGUGGGGCUGGGAAUUGCCCUGCCUGCCCAUCUUCAAGUCAGGGUUGAGGGAAAGUUUGCCUUUUAUGAAGACCGCCCUCUGAGAGGCCUGAACUCUGGAACGAUGAGCGCCUGGAGGCAUUUCUUUAGCACCUACUGUGUGCCAAACACUGCCUGAGUUACAUUUAAUUUGAAAAGUAGGUAUUCUUGUCCUCACUUAAGAAGCAAGAAAACUGAAACUAGGCAGGGUUCCGCAAGUAAUUUGUAUUACUUCAUCCCCUCGGAAACUGGAAGGCACUGGAUAAGAGUCCAUUCCUAUGCAGCCUCAACGUGGUGGUGACGGCCA